rnacentral:misc_RNA from 1 species
GGAGGGACAUGGACAUGGAAGUGG